UGCAGCUGGACCUGCGGGUGAAGGUGGUGCAGCUUCCCAAGCCACGUCCAGGACGGAGCCUUUGGGAGAUGCUGAGGUGAUGGACCAAACAUCUGUGCAGAAGGAGGCACAUCCUGGAGGAAGCAUUUCCCCAUGGGCAGCCCCUGCAGCAGGAAAGAAGGCAAAGCCAGACACGGGCACAGGCACAGCAGAUGCAGCCGGCACCACAACACGUGUUCCUGAUGCCCAGAAGGGCCUCGGAAGGGUCUUUUAUAUGGGAACAGGCUGCUGGGCAGGGGUAAUGGCAGGCCUGCUUCUUUUGGACCUAAUUCUCAUAUUGUGCUGUGUCAAAAUCUGGUGUUACUGGAAGAAGAAAUGGAGCACCUCUGGUGCUAGUCCAGCCAAAUACCUCAGUCAUGGAGAACUUGGCCUGUCAUCGUGCAUCUCCGUGCCAGUGUCCAUUGUCCCUUCCACAGGUGUAUUACCAGCUUGUAGCUGGAAGUAUGCUACAACCACUGCCUAGAACAGAUCCGUCUCUCCCUGAAGGGACUGGCCUAGCUGCCCAUCCAGGACAGGAGGUGCAGCCCUCUAGCCAGGGAAUGGAUUAUUUGAAAGGUUAUAUUUACUUGUAAAAAUUUUAGAUGUUUAUUAAAAACCUUAUUAGAAAUAUAACAGGUUACUGAAUAAAGACAAUGUUACUGUGCCGGGAGUAGAGGUUUUUUCCCACCACAUUCUCAUCCACACAA